CAUCCCCUCCAAAUGAGGCCACCAAUCUUUUUCUAACACAAUCUCCUAUUCUAUUGUCCUAAUGGAAAUUAUCGCUAUCUGAAUGCACUUUACUGUUUUAUCUAUUAUUGAAUGUGUAUUUCUUGUUUUGGGCGACUUUAUUUUACCUCUCUUCUCAUUAAACCAUUAGCUCUAAGGAAACAGGGAGCUCGACUUCUAGGUUCACUGCUUUGUCUUCUGUGCCUAGAACAAUGCUAGACCCAUGUCAGAGGUUGAAGACACACUGGUUCAGAAACACAUGAAGGUGGCUUCAUAAAUGUGUGAAUUAAUUUUUUGGCAUAAUCCAGACGACUAGUCAAGCACGCUUCUUUUCCUUCAUGCAGGAGCAAGUGGAGAGAGGAAGUGAGUAGGGAGAGAAAGUUUGAGACAAUGAAGGAAAAGGCAAAGGUUCCAACUUCCCAACAUGUUCCUGCAAGCAAAGAUCUGAAUGGGGAAGCUACUGCAGAAAAGGCUCUUCCAGCUGUAUCAGGGGAAUUAAAUCGAA